rnacentral:lncRNA from 1 species
UUAGUAUUCAGAGAAUGACCUGAACUUAGCUGUGUUAAGUUGCCUGCUCCACAGGAAACCACCUCUGUAACUGUUGCUUGCUGCUUUCUCUUUAGGCAACACCCAAAGCCACUGUCAGAUGUCAUGGAGAUGAGACCUCACAAGCCUACUCAACGUGAAGAUGAUGAGAAUGAAGACCUUUAUGAUGAUCUGCUUCCACUUAAAGAAUAAACCCUGAGGUAUCAUGAAGAAAUCCAUAUGCCCUGAAGUUACCAUCCUAGAGACAUCAUUUGGAGAGACUACAGUGCACAGAAGUAGAGAGGCCCAGCUGUGCCUGUCCCCAACUGAUGGAGUCUUCUCAGUGUCAGUCACCAGACAUUUGACUGCAGGUAACUGAAACUGCGGAAAGUGAAACUGCAGAUAAGAGGGACCACUGUAAAUAAGUGACAUGAAUGAUACUGCAAAGGACCAUAGCCUAACCAGCCAAGCAAACUGGAAGUACCUUUAGACUCACGCUUUGCCAAGCUCAGUUCCAGAAUCACAUGAUGAAAAGAAUGAUGGAAAGAAAAUGUUUGUGAUAUUAAAAUUAAGGAAAUUACUCCAACUCAGAGUUUCAUCCUAAACUGAGAGACCAACAUCAAAAGAAUCUUCUCAAGUUUCUGAGUGACGGCAAGAAACUAGACUACUGUUACCAAGGAACUUUUUAAAGCAAACUGCUUUUGCUGAUAUGAGGAGAAAGUUAAUUAAUAAGAAAAUACCUUAAAUGUGUUUUGAAGCUGUUAAAGGUGUGUAACAAUUACUCUGAAUUUAUUAUAGCACCAGUUAGAGACCCAGGAAAACUAUAAAAUUGCACAUCAGGGCAGAGCUGAGAGACGACAUCUGCUUUGGGAUUGAAAAAAAAAAAAAAAAAAAAAAAAACAGAAAGGGAACAAGAGAAAUAGCAAGUCAUUUAACAUUUGGAAUUCAGGACUCCAGACUCAUCUAUAGGACCAAACUGCUCUUGAAAUAUACUAGAUUUCCUUUAGCUCCAGAGGUUUUGCCUUCAUCAAAUGCCUGUAACACUCUUAUUGUCAAAAGGAAUAAGUGAUGGUGAACACUGUGCCAGAUAGGAGGUACCACACACAGGUUCAGCAAAAAGCAGAAGCAAGAGGUAUAUUUUUUGUUAGAUCUUAGUUCAUCCCUAUGUAACAGACAUUUCAGGGAAGGGAGGAGAAAAUAACAAAGCUACCUAUGAGCAAAGGUAAAUGGGAUUCCCUAUCCUUGUUUCCCAGUUUCGGUCAUGGUAUUGCUUAUCCAUUAUUAGUUAUCCACUGCUGGGUAACAAAUUACUCCCAAACUUAGCAGCUUCAAACAACAAUAAACAUGUAUUAUGUCACAUAGUUUGUUUCAGAACUUUGGGAGUGGCUUAGCUGAAUGGUUGUAGCUCCAGGUGCUUUUUGUGGUUGCAGUCAAGAAGUCAGCCCAUUCACACAGCUGCAGACAAAAGGACUCGGUUCCUUGCAGGCUGAGGCCUGAUUAGGCAGGGGGCCUGAGUGUCUCGCCACAUGGACCUCUCCAUAGGGCUGCUUUUCGUGGCAUGGCAGCUGACUCCCCUCAGAACAGAUGAUCAAAAGCAGCAAAAGAGAAGCCUCACAUGACUUUUGCCCUAGCCUUGGGAAUCACACUCUUCCAUUUCUACAAAAUCCUAUUGGUUACAUAGCAGCCCUAUCCAGUGUGGGAGGGAACUGUAUACAGGCAUGAAUACCAGGAGUGGAAAACCACUAGAGACUGGCUACCAUGGUCACUUACACACCAACAUGAAACUUUCAGCCUUUCCACCUCCUACCACUUAUACUAUAUUUAAUGUUUUUCCUGUUAUGGACUUUAAAAAAGAGGUCAUCAUAAGCAAUAAUAUCCAUGAAAUCAUGGAUAUCAUGUGAUCUUUAUAUUUAUUUUUAUUUUUAUAUAUUAAUUUCCAAAUAAAAAUAGAACUAUUAAAACAAAAUGUAUGUUAUCUUCUCAUAGCAAGUCAAGCAUCAGCAGUGUUAUACAUACUACCGUUUGUGAAGUACCACUAGCCACAAGCUCAAGCUGUUCUUGCUUGAGGGAGAUCUUUAUAAGCUCAGUGUAAGUCAGGAGGCAUUUGUUUCACAUGCCAUCCUCACUUACACUAAAUUCCCUAGAAGUCCAAGGUAAUAGUACUUGGGGAUAGGCUACAAUGCUACAACAAAGCCAUUUGCUAUGGUGGUUAUAACUGUCACUUGCCAGCCAUCGUUUGUAAUUACUUAAAACAGAAACAGUUUAAAGAAUUAAACCAGAAGGGUAAAGCAGAUUGUUCUCAGGACGUAAAACUAAACUCACCUUAUUAUGUAUUGUUACACUCCUGUCCACUUUCAUUACCAAAGGCAAUAAAGCAAUUUUAACUGUUCCCUGGAAUGUCACCAGCAAUAAGUGGUUUUGUUUUACUGUUCUGUUGAGCCGAAUAUAAUAGUUAUAUUUUAGAUCUCUUGCAACUGGGGAAUCUAGAAAUGCUUUCUGGUCUUUGUGAAUUUAUUAAAAUAUUUGAUUUGGGUAACCUUGGUGUUACUUUAAGUAUAGUCAGGGAAAUCAUGUCAUAAUCACUGAGUUUCAUUAGCGACUGGCCCUUUUUAAUCAUAAAAUUCAGUGUUCUGAAACCUAUUGCCUGUUCUGUCCUACACUUGUGACUUUGUCUCUUCUCUUGAUUGUACAGCCAUGAGCCCUCAUUAUGCUUUCCUGAGGGUGUUGUAUUUACUGGUGUCCUUCAUUGCCAAAGGUGACAAGGCAGGGAAUGUAAGAGUACAGCUGGCGGGAAGAAUCUCUAUUCCGAGUACACGGAGCAUGUCCCAUACUUCAGCCUGCAGAGCCCGUGACUACUAGCAGGGUCAAAAUUGUGUCAUUUAGGCUGGGCGCAGUGGCUUGCACCUGUAAUCCUGGCACUUUGGGAGGCAAAGGUGGGUGGAUCGCUUGAGCCCAGGAGUUUGAGACCAGCCUGGGCAACAUGGCGAAACCCCAUCUCUACUAAAACAUACACACACACACACACACACACACACACACACACACACACACAACUAGCCAGGCGUGGUAGCACAUGUCUGUGAUCCCAGCUAUGCAGGAGGCUGAGGCAUGAGAAUCUCUUGGACCCAGGAGGUGGAGGUUGCAGUGAGCCAAGAUCACGCCACGACACUAUAGCCUGGGUGACAGAGCUAGAUGAUUUCUCAAAAAAAAAAAAAAAAAAAAAAAGUCAUUUUACCAUAUGCCUGUCAGGUUUACAUUUUUUACUUCAUUUGAUAAGACAAUGAUUUAUUUUAUUUAAAUUCUAAAUUCAUAUCUGAAUUAAAAUAACUAUUAUAUUGUUAAGUAGGUUUUCUUCAUCAUUAUUUUUCAGAAAACUGGAGAAAGUGUAGGGAGCUCCAAAGCAGUACAUACACUUACCACACCAAUGCCAUUAUUUUCCAGAGUACUUCUUCCUCCUUCACCCAGUUUCUUUAUUAUGAAAUUUAACUUCCAAGAAUAAAGGUUUUUCCACUUACAACUAAUAUGCCCUAUUCUGCUUCAUGAAGAGUAGAGGGAGAAAUAGCACCCAGGACUAUUCUGGAGACAUUAAUACCUGAUCUCUGUUGCACUGUUUGUGAUUUGGGCAUAUUUUAAGGUAAUUUAUACAGUUAUUAUUUCCCUCUUUUUUGACAUCCAGGUAAGAAGUGCAAUGAAUCUUCAUGAUCAAAAACUCAUUAAAACUAAAUAAAAUAAAAAUAAAUGUACUUAAGUCUAUAAAUAAUCAUAGUGCUUUGUAGUUAAGGAAGUUAAGUAGUUAAGAAAAAAGAGUCCAGGCGGGGUGCAGUAGCUCACGCCUGUAAUCCCAGAACUUUGGGAAGCCAAGGUGGAUGGAUCACCUGAGGUCAGGAGUUCGAGACCAGCCUGGCCUCGAACAUGGUGAAACCCUGCCUCUACUAAAAAUACAAAAAUUAGCUGGGUGUGGUGACACACGCCUGUAAUCCCAGCUACCUGGGAGGCUGAGGCAGGAGAAUCGCUUGAACCUGGGAGGCAGAGGUUGCAGUGAGCCAAGAUCGCACCAUUGCACUCCAUCCUGGGUGACAGAGCAAGACUCCAUCUCAAAAAAAGAAAGAAAAAAGAAAAAGUGCAAUUAGAGCUGGAGUUAAAAGUGGGGAGUCAUGGUCAGGAGUUGUUCUUCAUGUCUCUCAAACACCAUGUGUUUUCUACCAUCCUUGUUUCUCCCUUUGCAUCUCCACUCUCCAGUGACUUUCUCUGCUUCCCACUGGACCCCCACUUUUACAAUACAUAACUAUUUCAAUGCCAGCCAUUAUCUAACAUUUCUCGGUAUGUCUCCGUUCAAAUUAGAGAAAGAAAGAGGUCUGAAUGUUAUUUAUACUUUCUCCAUAGAGAUUCUAAGGAAGACAAUAUUAAUGACAGUUCUUUGUUUACUGAAUGGGACGAGGAAUGUGCCAAUAAAAGAUUAUAUAAGAAAUGAGAUUUAAAAUUUUUCAGGGAGAAGGAAAAGUUAAGAGAAAGAUGAAUCAUCUUGAGAGACAAUAAGACAAUUUGAUGAGUUGCUGGAAAUGAUACAGUGUUUAAAUGAGAACUUCUGUUACAUGUUUUUGUAUAUUGUGUGAUAGAAUUCUCUUUUGUUUCCUCAUCGAACCUUCUGUAAUAUCUCUUUUGGCUAACCUUUGUGAGGCCAAGAUUGCCUUCUGUGCCUGUGAUUAAGAAGUGUUAAGUCCAGGUAUAGCUUGAGAAAGCACAGAGACCACACUCAGUAAUGUAGUCACACCUAUGGAAUAGAAAAACACCCAGACUCUUUAGUUUCCUAAACUAACAGCAUUACUGUUAGUUUUGCAGCAUUACUGACAAGAAAUCAUUCUCUCAUACCCCAAAUCCAGCCAAGAUGAGCUCGUUUCUAUAGGCCCCUUGUUUUUACAUAUUUCUGUGCCUUUGCUCAUGUUAUUCUACCUCCUCAUCAAAAACCAUUUCAGCAAUUGUGGAAACUACUCUGCAUCAACACCCAACCCAAAUGCUACUCUUUGUAGCUAAAAUUAACCUCUCCUUCUCAACUCUCAUAGCACUUGGUUUGGUACUCAUAUAAUACCUCUAUCACAUUUGCCUUGCAUUAAACUUAAUGAUUGUAUGCUUCAUAUAUCCUAUCAGAAUAUAAGCAACAUCUUAUAUACCUCAGAUUCUCCAAAGAAGCCAGGCUCAGUGCAUGACAUAUAUGAACACUCAGUAAAUGUUUCUUGAAUUAAAUGAAAAGGUCAGUAACUCAGUUCGCUGUGUCUUUUUUUCCAGAUUUUUACAGUACAACAGUAGAAAAUAGUAAGCUAAAACAUGUACACUUAAAUAAAUGCAUUUUCAUAAUGAAGACAUUUUGGCUUCUUACUGGUAAAUAAUGAGCUUUCCUCUACCUGCCAUGUAGUCUGUUCUGAAGAUAAAUAGAAGUAUGAAUAUGCAAACACUUUGGGAAGAGAAAACAUGCUACAUAAAUAAGAGAGUGUUUAUUGCUGUAACUACUACAUGGAGUCCAUCCUCAUAACUCAGUGUUUCUCUGUAUUAUAGGGAAUCAUGAUAGCUUAGGAUAAUCUGAAGUCCCCGAGUGAAUGCUCCUCAAAUUGUGAACUGUGGACCAGUACCAGUCUGAGAACUGUUACUAGUCUAUACGGAGAUAAGUAUAAACAUUGGGACUAAGCAUUUAAAAAUUUGUAUAGCAAUUUGAUAGAAUGACUGCUGAAUUUAAUAAUAAAUAUGUGACUAUAUCCAUAUGCCUUUCUCUUAUUAAUUUCCUUUUGCCAGCAAUAGAUUUUCAUUGAUUAUAUAAUACAGUUGAUACACAACAGAUUGCCAGCAAAAAUAAAACAACAUCAAAAAACCUGGUACUUCAAUAUAGAUAGGUUGAGAACCAAUGUUAUAGAUAAUUCUCUCCAGAAUGGAAGAUACCCACAUUAUGAACAUGGAAGUUCUGGGGAAAAGAAGGAACAUAAAUUUGUAGAUAUUGUGGGUUAUAAAAUACUAGUUUCAACAAAGGUUAAUAUAAAAGAACAAGAGAGUGAAUGGUAAUGAGAAUAAAGCAUAAUGUGACAGUCUGAUUCAUAAUAUUCAUUUUGAUCAUCUUUUUAAAGCUUUUUGUACAUCUUUAACAAUCUUCUGCAGGCUCCUCUCUCUAGGAACUGAACUUACAUCUGGAACUUUCAGAGAAACUAACAUUCUUUUCUGUUGUUAAGUGAAUGUGGGGGUUUUGUUGGCUUGAAGAAAACAACUAUGCACCCAUUUAAUUGAUAUUAACAGUAAUUCCCCAGUCAUCUAUAAAUUUUCUCUGUGAAAAAGUCCUUCAGGAAGCCAAUAAAUUAUUGUCUUUAAAAUACAAUUGAGCUUUAGUAAUCCUUUGCUUUUUUGCCAGUUUAACAUUGACCUUUUAUGAAAGUUUUCUUAAGUUGGGUCGAGAUGACAUUUGGAGCAAACAAUAUGUGGUCUUCUUAUUGUCAGAACAUUUUGUUUUUCCAGAUUACCAAGAUAACAUAUUUCACGGGGGUUUAGAAUAUGUUCUAUAGAUUUCUCAAACUACUGAAAAUGAUAAUUUGCAAGUAUAUUAAAAUUUAACAUUUAUGAAUCAUAUUACAAAUGUUGACUUGAGAAAUCUUGGUUUCAUUACUUAGAUCACAAAAUUGGAGGACGAGGACUGAAUUAGACAUCAAGCUUUGUGCUGUGCCUUCUGUGGUAGUAUUGCUCAAAAAAGAUUCUUCAUGUAGGGGAGGUAGAGUUCCCAACAAUGCAUCCAUUUAGACAAAACAGCGGGGUGUGCUGGGGGUGGGGGUUGUUGAGCCAUUUAUAAAAUACCUUUAACUUUGCUAUAUUUCAUUUGUGUUUUACUUCCUUUUGCUGCUAGGCAAAUCUGGCCCCCUGCUGCACAGGUCCCAUGUGAACUGAAAUUGGGAAACUAAGAAGCCCUGUGUGAUGGGUUUCUGGGGCUCACACACCAUCUCUACUUUUCUCCUUCUACCUUUCAGGCUCUGAUUAUCUUCACUCAUUUCACAAAGUAGCCCAUUUUUCUUCAGCAGUCUUUAAAAAGGGGAAUUGGGAUGUUUUAUGUAGAUAAUAAUACUCCAAUAAAGAGAAAAUCAGUUUCCUGCUGACCAAAUUGCUUCCUCUAUAUAUUAAUAUCCAAAUCUGCUCUAAAGCAUGUGCAUUUAAAGUUACUUCUUAUAUAACUGUUUGUGGGGGAGAGAGUAAAGAAAGUCUAAAUUACACCCACUAAAAGUUCUGAAAGUUUUAACUUUUGAAAUUCUUUAGUUCAGUAAGCACAGAUUUAAAUCCAAAAAGACAAUCAUUGUGAAAAUGAGAUGACUUCUUGAUUUUUGACCUUAUCUUUGCCUCUUGACCUUGCUAUCUUAGGAAUUCUUGAUGGCCUUUUUCUGAAUCUUUUUCCAAUCUAACUUUAAGACUCUGUUCCCAAAGCAUGCUGUAGGCGUAACACAUUUUCUUCAGGCAUGAGUUUAGCUGCAGCUGCUCCAGGACACACCCCCUGCAGACUCUUGACUUCCCAAUCCAUCAGACCAUCCAUCCCUCAACAGGCCUCCCAUUCUCCUGCCUCUGCCUUCCCUCUCAAUGUGAUCAGAUCCAUCACAUCUGAUCCUAAGCUGCUUUAGGUAUGUUGUUUUGAUCUCCAUUUGCCUUCUUCCCUGUUCUUAUUGACAACGCAGGCUUCCUAAACACAUAGUAGCUAGCUCCAUCUCCAUCAUCACUCAGUUACCCCUUUUCUUUUAAAUUCAUCUUCACUCCCAAACCCAAUUCUGACCUCAAGUGCUCAAGAGGAAAAUCCAGACAUCUUGGGAUAUGAUCAGCCAUCUUAAUCAUGAAAUUGAGAGUGAGGGUGAUUUCAACAGUGGCCAACCUUUCUCUGGCUCCACCCUAUAGUUCUCUUUUACCCUUAGUUAAAUUGUGAGCCCUAUUUUGCGGAAUGUACUUGUAUCAAUGACAUUAUUUUACCUAUACCUGACCAUUUACUAGAACUUAAAUAAUCUCAGUAACUCAUGCUCCAAUGGAAGCAGGAAGAGAGUCAGGCAAGCUUGAUGUGUCUUGUUGUUUGGUGACAAGGUUCUUGACAGUAUACCUCUAUCAUCUAUGCUUAUCUACUCUUGAUUGUUUAAAAAGCUGCCAACUUAGAAACCUAAAAUGCAAUUUUCCAUUGUGCUUACUACUUUCCACCCUCUCAGGCUGAUGUCUAUGCCUUGCCCUGAACUGCCCUCCACCUGCGGCAUCCUAUGUGAGCAUUUCACUUGGCACCAGCAGCAGAUGCUUUCUAUGGCAAAUCAGCUGUGAAAGCUCAUCAGCCUAGACUUUUCACCCGAGUCCAUUUAAACUUGAAUGUAUAAGAUGUGACAGACAUAACUAGGCGUAUCUUUCCAAUUUACCGUCUUAGCCUUAUGCUUGGAACAAGCAAGAAGAUUUGGUCUGUUCCUCAGGUAUUAGGAAGAAUACCAAAAGCUUCCUGUCAUGAAUAACACUCCUUUCUACACUAAUCCUUCAAAUCUCAGUGAAUUUCUUGAGAACAAAUAGAAUUGACCUCUCCAGAGACUGACUUCUCUCUCAUUGGGUUACAAUAUAACAAAUUUCAUCUUUUUGAAGUGAGCAAUCUGUCAGUUUCAACACAUAAUUUCUCUUUUUCCCCAUAUUUACAUCUGGAGCCAAAACUGAUUCUUUUCACUUGCCAGCAACUCUCAGAAGAAUUAAGAUGGUUUUGUUUAUACCUAUGUAUCUUUCUGUCUAUCUAUAUACCUAUUUACCCAUCUAUUAUUUAAUAUGGUCCCUACCUUAGUCUCUGGUCUAGGUGACUGUCUUUUGAAUGAUCUCAUGUACUCUCUCUUCUACUCACCUAUCCAUUGGUUUCUUCUUUCUUUCCACCUUAUGGCUCCUGUUCCGCUGGCUUUCACCAGGCUAAGACUGUUUUGCUUUGCAGUUCCCUCCCUUUUCUGUCUGCUGCUCUGCUCCUAGACUAACACAAUCCUAUCGAACCUUUUGCUUAUUAUCAUACUACCAUGUGUGAGCUUCAUUUCUGUGGAAUGCUAUCUCUGAGAUGCUAGUCCUCUACACCUGUACAGAUCACAACUGUCGAAGAAAACAAAAGCUAGAUCCUGUCCACUGUUGUACUCCUGGUAGAUGUACUUGGGAAAGCCACUUCAGUGCAAUCCCAAGAAUUGCCGAUGCUGAUAUUUACAUUGUAGAUACACAAUGUGGUCCAUGUUCUAAGUGUUCCAUACAUAUGCACUCAUUAGAUCCUUAGCAACCCAAGGAGGUUUGGAGCAUCAUCGUUCGCAUUCACAGGUAAGAGAUUGAGUCAAAGAAGGAUAAGUGACAUGCUGGUCACACAACUUGUCAGUGAGAACCAGGUUUGAGCCAGGGAGUUUGGUUCCAGAGCUCAUGCUAUUAACCACGAUGCUCCAAAUAGUGUUUCAACAUCUAAUACUUCUGCUUUCCAUCUCUUCUCUUGGCUUCGUGAGGUUCUCCUACAGUCCCAGGCUCCUUUUCAGCCACAUCCUGACAAACUAAAAGGAAAUGAAGAUUCCUUCUUGAACCUUGAAAUCUCAUGAUUUCCUCUCUGCACACCACAUCUUCAUUUCUUUGUGCAAACUGAACUCAGUUCCUUUAUCUUGAUGGCCUUACUCAUGACUCACUUUACCAAAUAUAGAUAGACAUUUGUAAUCCUCUUACAAAUGACAUUUCCCGUCAGGAAGGGCAGCACCAGAGACAGCAUAGCUCCUCUAAGGAUGUGCACAGCCUCAACUCAGCUCCCAGCUCUUGAGAUUGUAGAAUGAAAGUCUUUAUUUUCCUGUUUAUAUUACUUGAUGACCAUUACAGAGUUUAAGUCAUUGUAAAGCACAGACAAUUAUUUGUAAUCUGUUACCUUCUCAAUGAGGGAUGAAAACCAACCACAUAAUAAGGCAGGCUUUUAAUCAGAACAGCUGGUGUGAUGUCAAAGGAAGGAGCACUGGCUCACACACUCACAAGAUGAGGUCCCACAGUAGGUCUUUGCAAGCUGAAGAGCAAGGAAAUUCUGAGUCCCAAAGCUGAAGAAACUGGGAGUCUGAUGUUUGAGGCCAGGAAGCAUCCAGCACGGGAGAAAGAUGUAGGCCAGAAGACUAAACCAGUCUAGUCUUUUCACGUUCUUCUGCCUGCCUUUAUUUGGCUGUGCUAACAGCUGAUUAGAUGGUGCCCACCCAGAUUAAGGGUGGGUCUGCCUUUCCCAGUCCACUGACUCAAAUGUUAAUCUCCUUUGGCAACACCCUCACAGACACACCCAGGAUCAAUACUUUGCAUCCUUCAAUCCAAUCAAGCUGACACUCAGUAUUAACCAUCACAUCUUCUGUGCUUGACACAUAGUGGACCUUCAAUAGAUGUUUCAUGAAUGGCAAUGGUUGUCUCAGCUGAUUUAUAACAUAAAGUUAAUGAGACCAAGUUCAUAUUCAUUUGACUGAACAUACUUCUUUUGGAACCAAAACACACUGUAUCUUUAUUUUCAGCCAGAAACUCACCAUAUACUGUAUCCUUAUUGCCAUCACCCAAGUUACUCAUUAGCCACAAAAGAAAAUGAGCCAGAGAAUGCUUCCAAUUUAAUAUAACGUACAGAACUUUUCAACAAAGGCUGAUAAUGUCACUUUCAUAUACCAAGAGCAGCAUAAGUAUAUAAAUAGAUAGAUUGAUUUAAGUAGAUACAUACAUACGUGUAAAUAUACACAUAUACACACAAUGCAUAUAUGUGUGUGCAUAUAUAUAAAAUAUAGUGUAUGUGUUUAAACUGAAAAGAUGUGUGAAUCGAUGUUAUCAUUAUGUGUAUAAUAGAUUGUUAUAAUUGCAAGGGGAAAACAGUUAAUUGCUCAUUAUCACAGGCCUGACACACAUUGAAGUUUUAGUGUGUAUUCGAAUGAUCCCACUGAAUAGUUAAUACAUUUAAAGCAAAUAAAAAUAAAAGGCUUUUAAAAAAUUGUGUUAAAGCUCUUUACACAACAACUUUUAUUCCACUUUCUGUCAAAGCUUAUGUGUUUCCAAGGGAGUACAGUAAUUGUGCAUUUUCUAUUUUUAAAUCAUUCAUUGUUCUAGUUAAAUAUUAUGAAUGUAUGCCAAUUCUUAAAAGAGCCAUGCAGAGAUAGUAGGUAUAAUUGUGUUGUACUCAAAAUAAAUUCAUGGUUAAAGCAAAUAUUUAACAACUGCCAAAUACUGGAUUGCAUGUAGAAAACGAAUCCUGUAUAGCUCUGGUAAAUUAAAGCUUCAAUCCAAACCUUCCUUCUGUGCUUUAUAAUUAGAAAACCAAAUGAGGAACUUCUCUGGGCAGCCUGGUUUAAAAAGCCCACCUGUUUUCUGUUUUUGAAAAUAUAUUUUUUCAAGUUAAUAUGUUUAAAUAAAGGAUUCAGAUGACUCAAAAAAAAAAAACUGGAACUGAAUUGUAGACUAAAGAAUACCUUCUCGUAUUUAAAUUACUAUGUAUAUUGUGGUAUGCUGCAAUAUGUUAACUGGCUUAUAAGACAUUAAUUACAAAUAAAAUGCACUGAAAAAG